rnacentral:rRNA from 1 species
UGGGAGGGCAAGUCUGGUGCCAGCAGCCGCGGUAAUUCCAGCUCCAAUAGCGUAUAUUAAAGUUGUUGCAGUUAAAAAGCUCGUAGUUGAAUUUCGGGGUUAGUAGAUUGGUCAUGCCUCUGGUAUGUACUGGUCUCACUGAUUCCUCCUUCCUGAUGAACCUUAAUGCCAUUAAUUUGGUGUUUUGGGGAAUUUGGACUGUUACUUUGAAAAAAUUAGAGUGUUUAAAGCAAGCUAACGCUUGAAUACAUUAGCAUGGAAUAAUGAAAUAGGACGUUCGAUCCUAUUUUGUUGGUUUCUAGGAUUGACGUAAUGAUUAAUAGGGAUAGUUGGGGGCAUCAGUAUUCAAUUGUCAGAGGUGAAAUUCUUGGAUUUAUUGAAGACUAACUACUGCGAAAGCAUUUGCCAAGGAUGUUUUCAUUAAUCAAGAACGAAAGUUAGGGGAUCGAAGACGAUCAGAUACCGUCGUAGUCUUAACCAUAAACUAUGCCGACUAGGGAUCGGAUGAUGU